UACGGGGGGAGCAAGCGUUGUUCGGAUUUACUGGGCGUAAAGGGCGCGUAGGCGGUCAGCACAAGUCAGUUGUGAAAUCUCCGGGCUUAACCCGGAAAGGUCAACUGAUACUGUGCGACUAGAGUGCGGAAGGGGCAACUGGAAUUCUCGGUGUAGCGGUGAAAUGCGUAGAUAUCAAGAGGAACACCUGAGGUGAAGACGGGUUGCUGGGCUGACACUGACGCUGAGGCGCGAAAGCUAGGGUAGCAAACGGG
rnacentral:rRNA from 1 species